rnacentral:misc_RNA from 1 species
UGAGUGAAGGCGGUGCAACAUCACCACACGCCCCGCAUGGAGGCACGCGUGGCGGAAGUGUGCGUUUUUGCAUAGGUGUGUAGGCGGUCUUUCUUUGCUUCUCUCGUGGUGCAUCACUCUAGAGACAGCCAUGCACAAGACUGCUUCGAUACGGUUAGCGACAGGGGGAGCGGCGGAAGCGACGCGUGCAUGCGCGCGGGCUACCUCAAACGCCGUUGCUGUUCCAGCCGUGGCGCGAGGGACGCAUUACUCAUUGUUUCUUCAACGGCAUCAUCGUGCGCUGGGCGUGCACAGCUGUGGUGAGGGCGCAGACUCACGCUUUCAGGCGCAUCGAUGCAGCCGCGCCUUCAUCAAGUCUCGCUCAUUGCCUCCAGAUGAUCCCUUCGGUGAGCGCAGCACCUGGGAGGACCCGAGCGACGGCAUCUACGCUGCCUGGAAGGACGUUGACCAGGAGGCAUUUGUAAAUGCCACGGAGAGCCUGGAGGUGCGCCAGGCACACUUCGGCCCGGAGUGGGCCCGCUUCAGCACGGUGGGCCGCAUGUCCAUCAAGAAGAUGCGAGAAGAGCAGAAACUGCAGAACUCGCCGCCGUCAGGUGCGGCUGAAAGUGAGUCACAGGGCGCUGGGGUAGCGGCGGCGGCGCCCGGUUCUUUGACACGGCGCUACCCCACAGCAGAGGAGCUGCACGAGGCAGACUUGAGGCAGCGGCGUCGGCUGCUGGAGCGCAACUACAGCAGCUACGAGGCCUUUCUGGAGCACGAGGUCGGUGACGGUGAAGGGUUUGCAGAGGCGGAUGAGGGCCUCGCCUUCGCGCCAGAGGCAGGGGCGCACCGAGGAGAUGCCCGGGCGGAGCUGUACUCGGCCGCAUCGAUGGAGAGUGCGUUCUCGUCUGUGGAAGGCCUUGACGGGCUCGACCGCAUGGCUCAGCGCAACGUAGAGCGAGAGGCACGAGAGACACUAGAGGCAGCCGAGGUACCAGAACGGGUGCCGCUGCCGCCUUUCAUGUUCGAGCCGGACACCCGUGACGUGGCUGCGGCACCGGCACUCUCAUCGUCGAACCUGACCCCCACCACCAGCUCAGCGCCGACGGCAACGGAGAUCACGAGGCCAAAGACGGCGACAAGCAUGUCUACAGCAGAACCGUGCUCGAUGAGCGGCUCUCCCUCGGAGUCGGCUUCGCCUUCUACGUCCGCAGCUGCAGGUGGCAUCCCUGCCUACGUUGUGCGGCAAGUGCUGGGGGCUCUCGGUAGCCCGCAUGGUGACUCCCGACUUCCCCUCACCGAUCCCCUGCAUUGGGGCACGGAGGAUAUCAUACGCUUUCUGACACUUAUGGAGCAGCCGCCCAUCUCUGCUGACUCCGGCGACUGGCCGGCGUCAUCGGCAUGGUCGACAAUGGAUGACACGAUGUGCAACACAUUUCGCAUGGCUUGCGUGACGGGUGAGACACUGUUGAACGUGGUGACGCCGCCUCGUUUGUUUCGGCUCAUGCGCCAGUGGCACAUUCGCCGACACGAUGUCGUGAGCAAAGCCUGGAAGCUGCGAGCGCAGGCCGAGGGAGCACUCGCUACGGAAGCGGAUAGCUGUCUUCCAGAUGAUGUAGUACAGAUGGCCGUGGCGCAGAACUGCGAGCGGCUGGCAGAGGCGGUGCAGCAGCUGGACCGCAACCUCAUUCACGAAACCAUUCUUCUGUGUUUUCCAUACGGUCACUGAGGGGUUAUGUGGCGCCGUGCUGCGGCUAUAGUUCGAAGCCCGAUCCGCCUCUGUGCUGCCCGACGCACACAGCAUCUUCUUUCUGGUUGCCGCAGGUGUCGAGGCUUCUCUUUCAAGCGGGCGUUCAUCUCUUUUUGGUUGCAGCUGUUGUAAACACGAGCGUUUUGCACCACUGUUCGAAUAGAUGGGCGACAGAGUAGGGAUGGGGCGGCGGAGUGUCGGCACUGCUAUAGCAGGAGGGCGUCCGUGUGUCUUCUGGCUGCUCGCCGCAUAUGUUUGGUAUGCCUGCCGCAUGAGGAACGCAAGGGAAGGCGUUGCGAAGAAAAAAAAAACAGAAUAUCGUCUCUCAUUUGCCACGCCUCGUUCCGCGCUCGUUGGGAGCGAGGAGGCAAAGCCGCGCGCUGUGCUACCCGGGGCUUGUGAGGGUACCGUUUGGGCUGCGUGUGUGCGUGGCUUCACUUUGUGCUUGUGUGGUGGCUCUGCUCUGUUUCUGCCUCGCUCUGCUUGAAGGGGGAGGAGGGCGGCGAG